rnacentral:rRNA from 1 species
UACGUAGGGGGCAAGCGUUGUCCGGAAUCACUGGGCGUAAAGGGCGCGUAGGCGGCCUGAUAAGUAGGGGGUGAAAUCCUGCGGCUUAACCGCAGGGCUGCCUUCUAAACUGUCAGGCUUGAGCACAGUAGAGGCAGGUGGAAUUCCCGGUGUAGCGGUGGAAUGCGUAGAGAUCGGGAAGAACAUCAGUGGCGAAGGCGGCCUGCUGGGCUGUUGCUGACGCUGAGGCGCGACAGCGUGGGGAGCAAACAGG